UUUUUUUUUUUUUUUUGAGAAAAAAAUAUACAUUUAUUGACAAAUUCGGUGCAUAUUUUCUUGAACACAUUGUCUUUUAAGGACACUGAUUAAGUCACAAUGAGUUCUUAAUCCUUUGUAAUCUCUCUGUUUUCUACUUUGUUAAUCUCUGCCUUAAAUUAAUUUCCUUUUUUCAAAUUCCCUUUUGUUUAUCUUGGUAACUUUUUAUUUUAUUUUGCUUUAUCUUAUUUUUAUCAAGGUCGCAUCAGUUUAGUGUGCUAUAUCUUGUUAUAUGGAAGUUCUCAGGCUAGGGAUUCAUGUGGAGUCGCGGAUGUGGGAUCAGAGCCGCAUCUGCAACCUAUAACACCACAGCUCAUAGCAAUGGCCAGAUCCUUAACCCACUGAGCGAGGCCAGGAAUCGAAUCUGCAUCCCCAUGAAUAGUAGUCAGGUUCGUUCCUGAUGAGCCAUGGCGGGAAUGCCCUAGAUUGUUACAGCUUAAUUGAAGUCAAACCCACUGUAGACUUCCUUCUCAGAGAGGCCUUUGCAUAAAAUAUCCAUUAGCUUAAUAAUAUUUAAAUUCCAACUUCCUGAAGCCUGUAAACAUAUUCUCUAACAUCACCUGAGUAUAUAAAAAUAACAUACAAUUAAACAAAUAAUUACUCUAUAGUGUCAGAUACUGUACUUUUAACUCCAGAAAUGAAAGUGGAAAUUUUCCUAGAAAUUCAAAGAGUAAUCAGAUUAUCUGUGUCCUAUUAGAACUGUUUCUUAAAGCACUCCUGUUUUUACCAUUUUGACACAUUUAACAUAUCCUAUCUCUGAAACUUUUGUCAGUUUUGUUUGUCUGGAGAACACUGACUGACACAAUAAUCAAUCUUAUGUACUUGGAUAGCACUAGUUCAUUUAACCAAAAAUGGUUAAACAGCACCUACAUAGCAAACACCAAGAUGGAUAAAAUCCCUUCUAUGAGACAAUAAGAUUUACUGUAUAGCACAGGGAACUAUAUUCAAUAACUUGUAAUAACCUAUAAUGGAGCAGAAUCUGAAAAAGAAUAUAUAGAUAUCUAUUUAACUGAGUCACUUUGCUGUACCCCUAAAACUAACACAAUACUGUAAAACAGCUAUACUUUGAUUUUUAAAAAAUCCCUUCCAUAUGGCUCUCCUAUUUUGGAGGGAAGAAACAAAAAUGAUUAAGCAUAUUAAUUUAUAACAGGCAGAGGCAAAGCAAGGCAAGGAAACAGAGUGACAUAAGAAGGGCUGUAUUGGAGUUCCCUGGUGGCUCAGUGGGUUAAGGAUCCAGUGUUGUUAAUGCAAUGGUCCCGGUCACUGCUGUGGCUCAGGUUCAAUCCCAGGCCUGGGAAUUUCUGCAUGCUGCAGGUGCAUCCAAAAAAAAAAAAAAGAGAGAGAGAGAGAGAAAGAAUUGAUUGGCCAAUCAUUUAAAAAAAAAAAAAAAAAGAAGAAGGGCUGUAUUGAACAGGGCGCUGAGAAGGCCAGAAAUUAGUGGUAUUUGAGCGCCAUCUGUAUCAAGCGAUGGCAGGGCCUGCAGGUACCUGGAGGAAGACUGUUCCAACAGGUGGAAUGGGAAAACCCAAGGCCUCGCAGACGGCUGCCAGUGACUGACCAGGGCAUUGUCACUGCAUGCAGUCCCAAGGGUGCUUUGAUCCUGGGGAAACUGCACUGGGCCCAGUCAGGGCUCAGGUCCUAUCACUGUCACCCAGUCAUUUGAUCUUCUGGCCCCUGAUGCCUUCUGGAAAAGGUGACGGCUUAGGACCAGAUCAUCGUUUCCUGUCCAAAACACCCACAGUCCCAGCUCUGCAUCCGCCCCCAGCAGUUUCCAAUGUACAAAUAAAGCCUCUGAGGAACAUUCCAGCAAAGGAACCUGAAUGACUUUAUUUAACCCAAUGUUACCAAACUCACUUGGUCUCAAAAACGUGUUUCUACUAUUAAUUGAACUUGGGUUAGUUGAAAAUACUUUUAGGAGUUCCCGUUAUGCCUCAGUAGAUUAAGAGGAUCAGCUGGUCCCCAUAGGACCCAUGAGGAUGCGGGUUUGAUCCCCGGCCUUAUUAAGGAUCUGGCAUGGCCACAAGCUGUGGCAUAGGUUGCAGACGUGGCUCGCAGCUGGCAUUGCUGUGGCUGUGGCAUAGGAAUGCCAGAUCCAAGCCACAUCUGCACCCUACACCACAGCUCGCGGUAAUGCGGGAUCAUUAACCCACUGAGCAAGACCAGGGAUCGAAUUCGCAUCCUCCUCAUGGAUACUAGUUGGGUUUAUAACAGCUGAGCCACAAUAGGAGCUCCAGAAAAGAGCAUUCUAGAAUGGACCUGAUUGACUUUCUUUGAAAGAAAUGCUUUGUGGUGAUAACACCACUGUAAAACUCAGGGUUUGCAUUGUGCAGUAGUGGUGAAACCCCUAUAAAGUUGACCUGUGUUAAGAUAUAUACAGAAUGGCAUUUACUGCAUAAAUUUGUUUGUUUGUUUGUUUUCUGGCCAGCCAUUGUGAAUUUAUGCUCUGCUCAUGACAAGGGAAACCAGAGGUGCAUGAAUGGAUUAGAGCAAUUUCUUCCUCCUUCUUUCCCCAGAAGCUAUCUGAGCACUUAGGAUGGAUGAGGGCUCUGUUGGCUGAAAACGCAAAUCUGCUAAAUGCCCUGGGACCACCAGCCUCCAUACAGCAGACAACAUCAUUGCCACCUUGGAACACUUGUUUCCAAAACUUGAGAACUUGAUAAAGAAGGCAGAGCCAGUAAAAAGGAGAGCAGUGGUUAUAACCAUCAACCUCACAAGUGGAAAAAAUAUAAAAUAAAUUUUCAAGUAAUGACUAAGCUAUAAGGAAAUUUGCAAGUUUUUUAUUUGAAAAUUAGAAUUUGUUUAGAUUCAUUGCAGCACUAUUCAUAAUAGCCAAGACAUGGAACAAUCUCUGCCCAAUUGACAGAUGAAUGGAUUAAGAAUAUGUAGUAUAUAUACACAAUGGAAUACUACACAACCAUUAAAAAGAACAAAAUAAUGCCAUUUGCAGCAACAUGGAUGCAACUAGAGAUUCUCAUACUAAGUGAAGUAAGUCAGAAAGAGAAAGACAAAUACCACAUGAUAUCACUUAUAUAUGGAAUCUAAAAUAUGGCACAAAUGAAUCUAUCUACAGAACAGAAACAGACUCACAGACCUAGAGAACAGACUUAUGGUUGCAAGGGGGAGGGGCAGGUAGUGGGACAACUGGGAGUUUGGGGUUAGUAGAUGCAAACUAUCAUUUAGAAUGGAUAAGCAGUGAGGUCACUUGUGAUAGGACAUGAUAGAAGAUAAUUUAAGAAAAAGAAUAUGUAUAUUUCUUGCUGUACAGCAGAAAUUGACAGAACAUUAUAAAUCAACUAUAAUAAAAUACUGGGGGAAAAAAACAUUUGCUUAGAAAGAAAGUUCACCUAAAAGGGUGAGGAAGCCCUUCAUCAUUUCUGCAAUUCAUAUAACAUUAAAUAUAAAAAUCUAAUGUUUCAGCCCUGUAUGAGAACACUUUAGUUUUCAAACAACCACCAUAUGGGUCUACCUAGCAUUCAUUACCUAGCUAAAAUAUUUACGAGUAGCUGUAAAAACAAGCUGGGGAAUUCCUGUUGUAGCGCAGUCUACCUAGCAUUCAUUACCUAGCUAAAGAUAUUUAUGAGUAGCUGUAAAAACAAGCUGGGGAAUUCCUGUUGUAGCUUAGCAGAAAUGGAUCCAACUAGUACCAUGAGGCUGCAGAUUUGAUCCCUGGCCUUGCUCAGUGGGUUAAGGAUCUGGCCUUUGCCCUAAGCUGUGGUGUAGGUCGCAGAGGCAGCUUGGAUCCUCUGUUGCUGUGGCUGUGGUACAGCUCGGUGGCUGUAGCUCUGAUUCGACCCCUAGCCUGGGAACCUCCAUAUGCCCCAGGUCAGGACCUGAAAAGCAAACAAACAAAGGAACAACCACAACAAAAAACCAAGAUGAUAAAUUUUACUCCAUAUGCAAAGGGUCAUUUGUCCUACUAAUGUUUAACAAUAAAGUAUGAAUACAUGGAAGUCCAGAAUAGAGUGUAUUUAAUGAAAAUCUUUAAAUUAGAAUGCAUCAUAAACAUUUUGUCCAAAUUAUCAAAAUUCAAAUUAGAUGUGUUAAACUCUGUGAGCAUUUCCUAUGCUUUAAACAUAUUGCAAAACUGGCAGCUUUAAACAUAUUGCAAAACUGGUUUAAAACAAUUAGAAAUGCAUUGUCUCACAGUUCUGGAGAUUAUAACUUCAAAACUGUCAGUAGGACCAGUCUCUCUCUGACACCGGUAGGGGAAGAUCCUUCCUUGCCUCUACUGGCUUCUGGGGUUUGCUGUCGAUCCUUGGUGAUCCUUGGCUUGUAGAGCCACCCUUUGCCUCUGUCAUCACAUGGUCACCUCCUCCCUGUGUGUCUUUGUAUUUGUGUCUCUCCUCCUUAAAAACAUCUCCGUCCUGAUGGAUUAAGGGACCACCUAUACCAGCAUGAUCUCAUCUUAACUCAUUACAUCUGCAAAAACCCUAUUUCCAAAUAAAUCCCAUUCUGAGGUCUUGGAAGUUUGGACUUCAGCACUUUUUGCGGGAGGAUACAGUUCAACCCUAACAGUCUAUGCCUCUGACCCUCCAAAAUUCAUGUCCUUCCCACAUGCAAAACCUAUUCACCUGAUUUCUAACAUUUCCAAAUGUCUUAACCAUUCCAGCAUCAACUCUAAGGCCCAAACCUCAUCUAAAUAUCAUUGAUUCGAAAUCCCAAAUUUCACUAUCUACAUCAUCUAAACCAGUACAUGCGUGAUUUAACCUGGGUAGAUGUCUUUUCCAUCUUAGGAACUGUAACUGUAAAACCAGAGAAUGAAUUAUCUGCUUGCUGAAUACAAUAUCAGGCAUAGAAUAGACUUUCUCAUUCCAAAAAGACAAAAGGAGAAGGAAAGAGGGUGGGGGGUAACCGGUACCAGGCAAGUCCUAAAAAUUAGCAGGGCACUUUCCAUUAGACUUCGAGGCCUGAGAAUACUCCACUGUGCCUUGAUGCUCUGGGCCUAAUGGAAGGAUAGCCUCACCUUCUGAGUUCCAGGGGCCCUAUCAUCCCAAGCUUCUGUAUCAUAGCUCUUCCCUAAGAGCCCCUCUUCCUUCACUGCAUGCUGUCUCUGUCCCUUUCAGUCCUGGAUGGUGGUGUUUCUGCUGGUAUGAAGUUCUCAAAAAUCUUGUCAGUCUCCCACAAAGACCCAGGUCAUUAGACAAGAGGGUUUUCUAUGGAGCUUUUCUGGGUAACUCCAUCUCUAUUCCUGGCUUCUAUUGAGAAGGGUGAUUAAAACAAUUAGCUGAAUACCUAAUCUCUUUAGUAAAUGACUUGCCAGGCAGACUCUUGGCCCCAUUUCUCAAGUAUACUCUCUGGAUAGGCGGAGAAUCUUCCAAAUCAUCAAACGCUGGUUCAUUUUUGCUUUUCAGUUCCUUCCUCAAUUUACCUUUCCUCCCACAGUUUCCUAUAAGCAGUGAAAAGAAGCCAAGCCACACCUUCCAUGCUGCUUAGACCUCUCCCAAAAAAAAAAAAAAAAAAA
rnacentral:lncRNA from 1 species